AGCGGAUGACGUCAUACAGGCGCGGUGUAGCAAAUCGUCGCUGUUAGCCGCGGCCUAAGCAGGAAGGAGUGCACACCUAUUACCUAAAGGUUGUACGGUUCUGCGGGCAGAACGUCGGACUAAGUAUCAGUAUUAGCGUGUUAAUUCACCAUGUGUUUUCAGUACACGUUCGAUUUGUGUGUUUCCGGUACGGAGCGGUCGUGUGAAAGCUGAAAGCCCAAUGAUGAUGUUUACUUGAAACCAGUAAAACUGUGGUUUACAUCAUGUUGCCCACUCCGUUGAAUUGCUCCAAUUUAGUUAAGGAUUCUUCCACCUCGGGUAGAGAAAGACUGGUAAGAUGAUUAUGUAUUUUUUUUAUUAUUAAACGAAUUUCUAUGCAGUUUGCGUAAUCGCGUGUUUUUGGUUCGUACACUAAAAAACAGCUGUUGUUUGGAUGCCGAGCGCUAAAUGUUGUUCGGCACGUGAAGCUAUGACGUCACGUUUCGUAAUACCAGUGGGAAAAUUUUUCCUUCUACAUCGAUUAAGCUCAAAGCGAAUGGUACUUCUUAAGGAGGUGAAUCUUUCCUCUCAGCAGGCAAAUGGUGCUUGAGGUUUCACACAUUGGAAGUAUGUACUUAAGUUUGUUACUGGAGAAGGUGCGGUAUGUGGGGUGGAAGGAAUUAACGGUAGAUAAGUCUUUUGUGAUGUUACAGAAAAACUGCGCCGGAAAACCGUCCAUAUGGUAUUUCUUUCUACGACGUGUGUUUGCCGAUAAAGUGAAGUCGAGAAAAGAUAAAGAAAUAGAAAACAAGCUUGCUUUCUACAUUGAAUAACAAGACGUAAUUAGCUGUUACUAUUCAUUUACUAAACGGCAAUGCAAGUUAUGCGCAGUUUUAUCAAUCUUGGCAGUUUGAUUUGUAUGAUGUAACAAUAAAGAGAAAACUAGAUUAGAAUCUGUGAUAAGGCGAAAAUAUUCCAGGUUACUAAUUAGAAAAAUCAUUUUUCUUACAGCUCGAGUCUAGGUUAUUAUUAUAUAAAUAUGGUUAAAUGAUUGGAACAAAACCAAUUCAAUUCUUCGCGAUGUAUAUCACGUGACGUUACCAUAGAGACCGACAGAACACGUGACAACUUGCCACUUUAUGCCGUCUCGAUGCUAUCUCCUUCACUUUGUUCAAUGAUACCACUAAACGUAAGACAUGCUAUUGGACGAUUGUUCGACACGUAAAAUGAAAAACGGAAAAAAAAACUAGAAAAUCUUCUAUUUUAAUUCGGUAAUCUACGAAGAGAAGAUCGGAUCCAUUUCGAAGAAUUACAACUAUUUUUUUUCCUAACAUCAUGUGCCAUUUUGGUGAGAUUAUAUUGCAUGCGAAAUUUGAAAACAGGCAAUUAUUUUAUUAUUUUUUUACGAUUUUUAUGUACUGGAAGGGGCAUAGAGAUUUUUUAAAUUGUUCUCGAUCGUUUAAUAAAAGUUAAUAAAGUUUUUAUUAGCCAGAUAAUUAUUAUCUUGAUGUUUGACCUCAU
rnacentral:lncRNA from 1 species